rnacentral:rRNA from 1 species
UUCCGGUUGAUCCCGCCGGACCUGACUGCUAUCGGAUUGAUACUAAGCCAUGCGAGUCAUUGUAGUAAUACAAGGCAGACGGCUCAGUAACGCGUAGUCAACCUACCCUAUGGACGGGAAUAACCUCGGGAAACUGAGUAUAAUGCCCGAUAGAACACUAUACCUGGAAUGGUUUGUGUUCCAAAUGAUUUAUCGCCGUAGGAUGGGACUGCGGCCUAUCAAUUUGUUGGUGAGGUAAUGGCCCACCAAGACUAUUACAGGUACGGGCUCUGAGAGGAGUAGCCCGGAGAUGGGUACUGAGACACGGACCCAGGCCCUAUGGGGCGCAGCAGGCGAGAAAACUUUGCAAUGUGCGAAAGCACGACAAGGUUAAUCCGAGUGGUUUGUGCUAAACGAACCUUUUGACAGUCCUAGAAACACUGUUGAAUAAGGGGUGGGCAAGUUCUGGUGUCAGCCGCCGCGGUAAAACCAGCACCUCAAGUGGUCAGGAUGAUUAUUGGGCCUAAAGCAUCCGUAGCCGGCUCUGUAAGUUUUCGGUUAAAUCUGUAUGCUCAACAUACAGGCUGCCGGGAAUACUGCAGAGCUAGGGAGUGGGAGAGGUAGACGGUACUCGGUAGGAAGGGGUAAAAUCCUUUGAUCUAUUGAUGACCACCUGUGGCGAAGGCGGUCUACCAGAACACGUCCGACGGUGAGGGAUGAAAGCUGGGGGAGCAAACCGGAUUAGAUACCCGGGUAGUCCCAGCUGUAAACUAUGCAAACUCAGUGAUGCAUUGGCUUGUGGCCAAUGCAGUGCUGCAGGGAAGCCGUUAAGUUUGCCGCCUGGGAAGUACGUACGCAAGUAUGAAACUUAAAGGAAUUGGCGGGGCAGCAC